rnacentral:rRNA from 1 species
UUAUUAGAUCAAAACCAAACGGCUUCGGUCGUCCUACUGGUGAUUCUGAAUAACUUUGGGCUGAUCGCACGGCCUCGCGCCGGCGACGUAUCCUUCUAAGGUGUGCCCUAUCAACUGUCGACUGUGGCAUAGACGCCCACAGUGGUUUUGACGGGUAACGGGGGAUCAGGGUUCGAUUCCGGAGAGGGAGCCUGAGAGACGGCUACCACUUCUAAGGAAGGCAGCAGGCACGCAAAUUACCCACUGGCCGAAGGCCGAGGUAGUGACGAAAAAUAACGAUACCGGACUCAUCCGAGGCCCGGUAAUCGGAAUGAGUACACUUUAAAUCCUUUAACGAGGAACAAUUGGAGGGCAAGUCUGGUGCCAGCAGCCGCGGUAAUUCCAGCUCCAAUAGCGUAUGUUAAAGUUGUUGCGGUUAAAAAGCUCGUAGUUGGAUCUCGGCGGUCAGGGAACGGUCCGGUUUCUGCCGCGACUGCUCCAUUUGGCCGUGAUUUUGGCGGAGGUGUCGAGGUGCCCCUAAACAGGUGUCUCGGCGCGCCGUCGGGUUUACUUUGAAAAAAUUAGAGUGCUCCAAGC